GCUUUAACCUGGCUCGCGAGCCCCUCUCGCUUAGGUCAACGCCGCUUCCAGUCUGGACUAGCAGAGCCCACGGGAGUCUUGCAGGGAUCCUUCUUCACGCAAAAGUGAAAACCCUCCUGAUGGAAGAAGUGCACUUUGCUUUUUUUCCCCCCCCUUCUUUUUCUUCUAACCACUCUGGAAAAAUAAAUGUCAGCGCUUGGUGAAGUUCAAGAAAAGAUCUGGAAGCUGUGGAAAAGGAAAACAAAAACCAAACCACCCAAAAGACAGUUGUCUUGUGAAAAUAAAAUCUAAGCCUCCCCCA